rnacentral:rRNA from 1 species
CAGUCGCCGCGGUAAGACAGAGGAUGCAAGCGUUAUCCGGAAUGAUUGGGCGUAAAGCGUCUGUAGGUGGCUUUUCAAGUCCGCCGUCAAAUCCCCGGGCUCAACCCUGGACAGGCAGUGGAAACUACCAAGCUGGAGUACGGUAGGGGCAGGGGGAAUUUCCGGUGGAGCGGUGAAACGCGUUGAGAUCGGAAAGAACACCAACGGCGAAAGCACUCUGCUGGGCCGACACUGACACUGAGAGACGAAAGCUAGGGGAGCAAAUGGGAUUAGAUACCCCCGUAGUCCCUGUCUCUUAUAC